CAAUAAGCGGAGGAAAAGAAACCAACAGGCAUUGCCCCAGUAACGGCGAGUGAAGCGGCAACAGCUCAAAUUUGAAACCUGGCGCAAGCCCGGAUUGUAAUUUGCAGAGGAUGCUUCUGGGCAGCGGCCGGUCUAAGUUCCUUGGAACAGGACGUCACAGAGGGUGAGAAUCCCGUAUGUGACCGGCGCGCACCCUCCACGUAGCUCCUUCGACGAGUCGAGUUGUUUGGGAAUGCAGCUCUAAAUGGGUGGUAAAUUCCAUCUAAAGCUAAAUAUUGGCCAGAGACCGAUAGCGCACAAGUAGAGUGAUCGAAAGAUGAAAAGCACUUUGGAAAGAGAGUUAAAAAGCACGUGAAAUUGUUGAAAGGGAAGCGCUCACAACCAGACUCCGCGGCGGUGUUCCGCCGGUCUUCUGACCGGUCCACUCGCCGCCGUGGGGCCAACAUCGUCUGGGGCCGCCGGAUAAGACCGCAGGAAUGUAGCUCAUCGAGUGUUAUAGCCUGCGGUGAUGCGGCGCGCCCCGGGCGAGGUCCGCGCCUCGGCAAGGAUGUUGGCGUAAUGGUUGUCAGCGGCCCGUCUUGA
rnacentral:rRNA from 1 species